AUUGAACGCUGGCGGCAGGCCUAACACAUGCAAGUCGAGCGGUAACAGGAAGCAGCUUGCUGCUUCGCUGACGAGUGGCGGACGGGUGAGUAAUGUCUGGGAGACUGCCUGAUGGAGGGGGAUAACUACUGGAAACGGUAGCUAAUACCGCAUAACGUCGCAAGACCAAAGAGGGGGACCUUCGGGCCUCUUGCCAUCGGAUGUGCCCAGAUGGGAUUAGCUAGUAGGUGGGGUAACGGCUCACCUAGGCGACGAUCCCUAGCUGGUCUGAGAGGAUGACCAGCCACACUGGAACUGAGACACGGUCCAGACUCCUACGGGAGGCAGCAGUGGGGAAUAUUGCACAAUGGGCGCAAGCCUGAUGCAGCCGUGCCGCGUGUAUGAAGAAGGCCUUCGGGUUGUAAAGUACUUUCAGCGGGGAGGAAGGCGAUAAGGUUAAUAACCUUGUCGAUUGACGUUACCCGCAGAAGAAGCACCGGCUAACUCCGUGCCAGCCGCCGCUGUAA
rnacentral:rRNA from 1 species